UUUUCUUUCACGCUCUCUCUGUCUAAAAUCUCAUCUGCUCUACCCAAGCCAGCCUUCUCCGAAAGCAACUUUGAGUUUAAAUAGGGCUGCUUAGGGACAAUAUAUAUCUCCACUUCAACUAGGGAUGAAGUGGAGAGUAGAGCUAGACGAAUUGAUGGCAAAGAGAGAGCUUCGGAUCAACCAUGUAGAUUGAGAACCACAGAUUAGAGAAGGAAAUUGGUUAUGCAUAAUGCAUGACAAAGUAUAUCGGUGCACAACAUAAAUGCAUAGGGCGACAUGGGAUGAGAAUAGAGACAAAUUGAAACAAAUUGUACUAUAUUGGGUGAAGAUACCAUGUCAUAUGUAGAGAGACAAUAAUGUACCCACCUAAGAAGUUAGCUUGUUUUCAUCUAAGCUUCAAGGGUGCUAAAUGUCAUGCUAGCAAUUUCAAAGCUGCAUAAUUCCUAAUUUGUCGAAGAUGUCAGCCAAAUUUCUUUCUAUGAAGAAGCCAGGUUCUUUUGGAUUAGGUAAAUCAACUUCCUCAUUUUCAAGAGUGCUAAAUGUCAUGUUAGCAAUUUCAAAGCUGCAUAAUUCCUAAUUUGUAGAAGAUGUCAGCCAAAUUUCUUUCUAUGAAGA